AUUGAACGCUGGCGGCAGGCCUAACACAUGCAAGUCGAACGAGUGGCGGACGGGUGAGUAAUGUCUGGGAAACUGCCUGAUGGAGGGGGAUAACUACUGGAAACGGUAGCUAAUACCGCAUACCAUCAGAUGUGCCCAGAUGGGAUUAGCUUGUUGGUGGGGUAACGGCUCACCAAGGCGACGAUCCCUAGCUGGUCUGAGAGGAUGACCAGCCACACUGGAACUGAGACACGGUCCAGACUCCUACGGGAGGAAGCAGUGGUGAGUAUUGCAAAAUGGUCGUAAGCUUGAUGCAGACAGGCCGGGGGUAUGAAGAAGGCCGUCGGGUUGUAAAGUACUUUCAGCGGGGAGGCGUUACGCGCAGAAGAAGCACCGACUAACUCCGUGCCAGCAGCCGCGGUAAUUA
rnacentral:rRNA from 1 species